AACAUCUUCUUACCAAAAAGUGCAAGGGUAAGGAGAUACGUUCUGCGCAUGCGCAGCCCUAUCUCCUUAAAUACGCAUAAUUUUUAAAAGGAUAUUAAACAAAGUUGUAGCCCUCAUCCAGAGGAACAACUUUUGUUAACAUCUUCUUACCAAAAAGUGCAAAGGUAAGGAGAUACUUUCUGCGCAUGCGCAGCCGUAUCUCCUUAAAUACGCAUAAUUUGUUAAAAGGAUAUU
rnacentral:miRNA from 1 species